GAGAGCCGGAUGCGCUGAGAGGUGCACGUCCGGUUCGGAGAGGAGAGGCGUAAGCGCGUGGGGAACACAGAUUGACACGCAC
rnacentral:ncRNA from 2 species